rnacentral:tRNA from 1 species
GGUAAUAGCUCAGUGGUAGAGUGCAUGCUUAGCAUGCAUGAGGUCCUGGGUUCAAUCCCCAGUACUUCCA